rnacentral:rRNA from 1 species
GUAGGUGGCAAGCGUUGUCCGGAAUUAUUGGGCGUAAAGCGCGCGCAGGCGGGUUCUUUAAGUCUGAUGUGAAAGCCCACGGGCUCAACCGUGGAGGGUCAUUGGAAACUGGAGAACUUGAGUACAGAAGAGGAAAGCGGAAUUCCACGUGUAGCGGUGAAAUGCGUAGAGAUGUGGAGGAACACCAGUGGCGAAGGCGGCUUUCUGGUCUGUAACUGACGCUGAGGCGCGAAAGCGUGGGGAGCAAACAGGAUUAGAUACCCUGGUAGUCCACGCCGUAAACGAUGAGUGCUAAGUGUUAGGGGGUUUCCGCCCCUUAGUGCUGCAGCUAACGCAUUAAGUACUCCGCCUGGGGAGUACGGCCGCAAGGCUG